AGGGUUUACCAGGAGAAGAUGGGGGACCGGGUCAUAAGGGUGAACCUGGACUACAAGGCCAACAGGGCACCCCAGGCCAGCAAGGCAUACCAGGACUUCCAGGAGUACAAGGUUUACCAGGCCUCCAAGGCAGUCCAGGAAUCGUGGGAGCACAUGGUUCUCCAGGGAACCCAGGA